GACGAACGCUGGCGGCGUGCUUAACACAUGCAAGUCGAACGGAAAGGCCCUGCUUUUGUGGGGUGCUCGAGUGGCGAACGGGUGAGUAACACGUGAGUAACCUGCCCUUGACUUUGGGAUAACUUCAGGAAACUGGGGCUAAUACCGGAUAGGAGCUCCUGCUGCAUGGCGGGGGUUGGAAAGUUUCGGCGGUUGGGGAUGGACUCGCGGCUUAUCAGCUUGUUGGUGGGGUAGUGGCUUACCAAGGCUUUGACGGGUAGCCGGCCUGAGAGGGUGACCGGCCACAUUGGGACCGAGAUACGGCCCAGACUCCUACGGGAGGCAGCAGUGGGGAAUAUUGCACAAUGGGCGGAAGCCUGAUGCAGCAACGCCGCGUGCGGGAUGACGGCCUUCGGGUUGUAAACCGCUUUCGCCUGUGACGAAGCGUGAGUGACGGUAAUGGGUAAAGAAGCACCGGCUAACUACGUG
rnacentral:rRNA from 1 species